rnacentral:rRNA from 1 species
UACGUAGGGGGCAAGCGUUGUCCGGAUUUAUUGGGCGUAAAGAGCGUGUAGGCGGUUCAGUAAGUCUGCUGUGAAAGUCCAGGGCUCAACCCUGGGAUGCCGGUGGAUACUGCUGGGCUAGAGUACGGAAGAGGCGAGUGGAAUUCCCGGUGUAGCGGUGAAAUGCGCAGAUAUCGGGAGGAACACCUAUUGCGAAGGCAGCUCGCUGGGACGUUACUGACGUUGAGACGCGAAAGCGUGGGGAGCAAACAGG